rnacentral:rRNA from 1 species
UACGAAGGGGGCGAGCGUUGUUCGGAUUUACUGGGCGUAAAGGGCGUGCAGGCGGCCGCAUUUGUCAGGCGUGAAAGCCCCGGGCUUAACCUGGGAACUGCGUUUGAUACGGUGUGGCUAGAGUUCGGGAGAGGAGAGUGGAAUUCCCAGUGUAGAGGUGAAAUGCGCAGAUAUCAGGAAGAACACCAAUGGCGAAGGCAGCUCUCUGGGACGGUACUGACGCUGAGACGCGAAAGCGUGGGGAGCGAACAGG